UACGAAGGGGACUAGCGUUGUUCGGAUUUACUGGGCGUAAAGCGCGCGUAGGCGGAUCGCUAAGUCAGGGGUGAAAUCCCAGGGCUCAACCCUGGAACUGCCUUUGAUACUGACGGUCUGGAGAUCGGGAGAGGUUGGUGGAAUUCCGAGUGUAGAGGUGAAAUUCGUAGAUAUUCGGAGGAACACCAGAAGCGAAGGCGGCCAACUGGCCCGAUACUGACGCUGAGGAGCGAAAGCGUGGGUAGCAAACAGG
rnacentral:rRNA from 1 species